rnacentral:miRNA from 1 species
ACAAGCCACUCAACACUUCCUCAUUCUGUCCUCUCUGAGGUGACUGAGUUUGUGAGCCAAGAUGUGGAAAAAUUGGAAAAUUUCAAAAUGGGGUGGGUGUAA